AGGAGUCACUUUCCGACCUUCAAGGGACAAUUGCCUUUAAGGAUUUCAUUCUGAGCAGGGGCUACACAAUGCCAAGUUUCCUUGAGAAGAUGUAUAUCAGGAAGGAGCGUAAAUGUGAUUGUAAUAUGACUUCUAUAAAAUAACUCAAGCAUGGAAGAAUCUUGAGAAGAUGAUUAGAUCAAUUUUAUUUACUACAUACUUGGCUAUUUCUCUGUCUCAUUUUAAACCUUAAAUAAGACUUAUGAGUGUCCCAUGGAUAUACAACUUUGACUUGGCAACAUCUAUAAAUUUCAUACUUAAUACUUGAAAACAUUUCACAAUGGCUGUCUGCUUCUGGUAAUUAAUAUUUUAUAUAUCAUAUCAGCAAUGAGAUCAAUAUUCACACAUAGUCUUCUCACAUUUUUGUAGCAUUGUCAAUAUUACAUAGUUAUAUAACUACUUGUAAGAAAAAACAAAUAAAACUGUAAGUAAAAGC